GUCUAUGGCAAUGCUACCCUGAACAAGCCCGAUCUCGUUUGAUCUCGGAAGCUAAGCAAGGUUGGGCCUGGUUAGUACUUGGAUGGGAGACCACCUAGGAAGACCAGGUGCUGUAGGCA
rnacentral:rRNA from 1 species